CAGCCGCCGCGGUAAUACAGAGGGUGCGAGCGUUAAUCGGAUUUACUGGGCGUAAAGCGUGCGUAGGCGGCUUCUUAAGUCGGAUGUGAAAUCCCUGAGCUUAACUUAGGAAUUGCAUUCGAUACUGGGAAGCUAGAGUAUGGGAGAGGAUGGUAGAAUUCCAGGUGUAGCGGUGAAAUGCGUAGAGAUCUGGAGGAAUACCGAUGGCGAAGGCAGCCAUCUGGCCUAAUACUGACGCUGAGGUACGAAAGCAUGGGGAGCAAACAGGAUUAGAUACCCGAGUAGUCCAUGUCUCUUAUAC
rnacentral:rRNA from 1 species